rnacentral:lncRNA from 1 species
CGAGACUCUGUCUCAAUAAACAAAACAAAACAAAGAGCUUUAGAACAGUAAGGAAAGGAAGGAGAAGAAAAGUACAAUGUGGAAGAAGGCCAAGUGGUUGACCUGAGAAACCGAGUGCGCAGCUUGGCCUCUUGACUUGGGGUUUGAUACCUUGGCAUACUUCCAGGAUCUUGGAAGUAAGCUGCUUCCCACUCCGGAGAUCUUACUGGGAAGCUGCUGAUCAGUUGCAGGUGUUUUCUAUUAGGAGACUGCCUUUCCCCCGUACUGGCUGUGACCAAUUACUAAACAGAAACAGUUAACAACCACUUGACCACCACCUGAUGGUCACCCAGCACUCCUAGUGUGUGUGUGUGUGUGUGUGUGUGUGUGUGUGUGUGUGUGUGUGUGUGUGUGUGUUGGGGGGAAGUCCUUUCCUGCCCUGCUCAUACCUAACUAGCUACCUACUGUAAUAAAGCUACCAUUCAGGAACCAAGACAAAAAGGAAAAAAAUACAUUUAACAUUUACAGGUAAAUAAAAGCUGAGAAUGAGCCAAAGAAACUCCCGAAGGAUGUACCUCAAGAAGGAAGAUGAUUCCAGGUCAGCCUAAGAUGCAAGAAGAAGGAAUGGCAAAGGAGGGGGCACUGUUUCUAAGAAGAGUGAUGAUACCACCGUAUUUUUGAAAAAUGAUGAAACAGCGUGGGGGAAACUGCUAUGUCUUCCAUAUUCAGGCUUUUUCUUCUCCAAGCCCAUUUCCUCCCUAGCAAUGAUAAGAGGAAACACUCCCGGUGAGUCAGAUGCUCUCUAAAUAUUUUUGCUCAUUGAAUGUUGACACCAGCCCUGUGUUUAGUAUCAUACUGGGAACACGCAUGAGGAGCUGAAGCACAGACAGGUUAAGUGGCUCGCCCAGGGUCAUACAGCUACUCAGUGCUGGAGCCGAGAUCACACCAGGCUCUGCUUCCCCACCAGAACCAUGAGAGGUUGGGAGUGACCCUACUGGACAGGGAUAUCUGAGGUGGGAGGGGCUGUGUGUGUGUUCAUGCUGAGGCCGGCAUGCUUAGAACAUCAACCUCAAUUUUCCUCCCCACAGGGUCUGGCGGGGAGGCAGGGAGCAAGGUCGUUAAGGGUGGGCAGGGUGAGGGGGAGAUUCCCUGACAGCCUGGGUUCUGCCCCUCACUUGCUACAGCCCCAUGCAAGCCUCUUGGCCUCUCUGAGGCUCUGUAUUCUCACCUGUCAAAUGGGGGUUGUCCUGGGUGUUACUUCAAAGGCUGAUGAGAAAGGAGUGAGUGGGCUGGCUCGCAGCCUGGCGUGACAAGCAAUGCAUAAAUGUAUGCCGUAUGAGUCACCUGUCCACAGUGGCCCCAGCAGCUCUCUCUAGCAGGGCUUGGCCAAGACUAGGCCCUCAGAGUGUAAGAAAACUCCUGGUUUGGUGCCUAGCACACUAUAGAUGUGGCAAACUGUGUCCAAGAACGUUUUGAUGGGAGCCUGCCUGGAUGACAGAAGAUCAGAGUGUGCUGGAAUGUCCCACCCUUUCCAGCUUCCCGCAGCCAAGCCAGGCUCUGGGGUGAUCAUUCCCAUAGCAACCACCAGGGGUCAGGGCUGGCCACUUCUGCCUUCUUCCCUCAUCCUAGCGCCUGUGGGUGGCGAUGACAUCCCUGCCAUCUAUGAGGUGGAGCAUUUCCAACAAGAGCAGGUCUGAGGCCCUGGCUUGACUUUCCCAGUCCUGUUAAAGAAGAACAUUGGGAUACCCAACUGUUCUAGCACCAUUUAUUGAAAAGUCAACUCUUCCUUCAAUAUUCAGAAAUGUCACCUCUGUCAUAAACCAGGCAGCCACAUGUGUAUUAGACUGCUGUGUCUUCGUUAUUUCUCCAGAGGUUUGCCAAUUUUACUAAUCUCUUCAAAGAUCCAAUUUUGAUUUUUGUUCAUUUUCUUAAUUGUAUGCUUACUAUUUUAUUAGCUUGUGCUUUGGUCUUCCGUAUACUUUUUUUGGGGGGGGGUUGAAUUUACUAUUCUUUUUCUAAGCUCUUUGAAAUGGAUGAUUAGCUCAUUAAUUUUAAGUCUUUACUCUUUUCUAUUAUAUGCUAUAUAUUUUCCUGUAAGUAUUAACUUUAGAAAAAUUUCCUACCAGCUUUGAUAUAUAUGAUAUUUUCAUUAUUAUUCACUUCAAAAUGUUUUUAGUUUUUAAUUGUAACUUCUCUGUGAUAUAAAGAAGUAUGACUUUAAAUUUUCCACAUUAUGGGGAUUUCCUAGUUUUUUUUUUAUUGAUUUUAGCUUAAUUAUAUUGUGGUCAGAUCAACAUUACAUGAAUUAGAAAUUUAUCAAGAUUUGUUUUAGGCUCAGAAUAUGAGCCAAAUUUGUAAAUGUUCUGCUUGAAACAUGUAUCUUACAACAAUUGUGUGCAGUAUUCUACAUAUGCUCAUUAAGUCUAGUUUAUUAACAGAGUUCUUCAAAUCUUUUAUACCCUUUUGUCUCGUUUUUAAAAUUAAACUGAAAACGGUGUCUUAAAAUCUUCUAUUAUGGCUGUUGAUUCUUCCAUAGUCCUAUUAAGUUUUGCUUAUAUAUUUUGAGAUUAUGUUGUAGGCACAAAUUUAAUAUUGUUAUGUCUUCCUAGGAACUUUUGCUAUCUUUUCCUCUGGUUUUUGCCUUAAAGUUUAUUUUGUCUUUCAUGAAUAUAAAUACUUACAUCUGCCUUUGUGUGUGUGUGUGUGUGUGUGUGUGUGUUUGUUAGAUUCAGGGAGUACAUGUACUUGUUUGCUACAUGGGUAUUACACGUGUAAUGGUGCAAUUGGGCCUCUGGUAUACCCAUCAUUCAAAUAUUGGACACUGUACCCCAUAGGUGAUUUUUCAACUUUCUCUUCACUAGUAUUUUUACCUUAUUACUUUAAACUUUAUUCUUAUGCUUUAAAUGUAUCUCUUCUUUUGUAAACACCAUAAUUCCCCUCCCCCCAUUCCAAAUCAAGUCUGAAAUUCUUUGCCUUUUAACAGGAGCAUUUAGUUCAUUUACAUUUAAUGUAUAUGUAAAUGUAAAUACAGUGUAUACUUUGUAAAUGUUUAGAAUUAAAUCUAUUACUUUAGCUUAUCUGCUUAUUCAUUCUAUUCUUUUUCUCUUCUGUCUGGACUUAAAAAAUGAUCUGCAUAUAUUUUAUCAUUUAAUUUUGUCCCUUAGCUUGUUUGAAAUGACAUACUGUUUCUAUUCCUUUAGUGCAGGGAUUAGAGACCUUUUCUCUGUAAAGGGCCAGAUAAUAUAUAUUUUAUGGUUUGUGGACCACAGUCAGUGGGUUUUUUUAGGGUCUGUGGGCCGAAGUCAGAUUUUUUAUAGCCAUUUAAAAAUCUAGAAACCAUCCUUAGCUUGCAGGCUAUAUAAAAACAGGCUGAAAUCUGUAUUUAGCCCAUGGGCCAUAGUGUGUAACCUCUUCUAGUGUUCACUCUAGAAAUUAUAACAUGCACACUUAACUUAUCAAAGCCUACAAUUAAUGAAAACCUUUACCCCUCUGGACAACACAUUGAUAUUAGAACAUUUUGAGUCUAUUGCCUUCCUAACCCCAAUUCCUAUGUUAUGUUGUCUGGUAUUUACAUUU